rnacentral:rRNA from 1 species
ACAUGCAGAGAACUUUCCAGAGAUGGAUUGGUGCCUUCGGGAACGUCUGACACAGGUGCUGCAUGGCUGUCGUCAGCUCGUGUCGUGAGAUGUUGGGUUAAGUCCGUAACGAGCGCAACCCUUGUCCUUAGUUUACCAGCACGUUAUGGUGGGCACUCUAAGGAGACUGCCGGUGACAAACCGGAGGAAGGUGGGGGAUGACGUCAAGUCAUCAUGGCCCUUACGGCCUGGGCUACACACGUGCUACAAUGGUCGGUACAAAGGGUUGCCAAGCCGCGAGGUGGAGCUAAUCCCAUAAAACCGAUCGUAGUCCGGAUCGCAGUCUGCAACUCGACUGCGUGAAGUCGGAAUCGCUAGUAAUCGUGAAUCAGAAUGUCACGGUGAAUACGUUCCCGGGCCUU